GCCUUUUACAGAAAAGACUGAGCUUACGUGAUCUGACUUCCCAGAGCCAGGAUUUGAACUCAGCAAAGUCAAAAUGGAAGAACUAUUCCUUCAAAAAUGCGCAUAAGAGUUGACUAGAGCAUCAUGGCGGAGUGAGCCCUCACCCUAGACUCUUUCCCCUUAGAAUAUCCCUGCUAAGAUACAACAAAAAGUACAUUCAUAUAGCAACAGAGGACAUUCACACAACACAAAUGACGUCUGAGAGAUGCGCACACACCCAUACAUCUGAAGCUGGAGGUCCUGGAACCCCCAGAGGAAAUGGAAGGAGGGCAGAGACAUAUGGGUUCAGUAAAUGUACACAGUCUGAUUUGGACAUUCACCACGUGUUCUGCAUUUGGAAGAAGAUGACCAACUUUACAGAUGCCAUUCAGGACAUCCCUGGAUACACUACUUACCUCAACCUGACACAGAACCAAAUUCAGGUCUUUCCUCCUUAUUUUUUCACUAAUUUGUCUGCUCUGGUGGACUUGUAACUGGAGUAGAAUUCCAUUUGGAAGAAGAUGAGAGGGCCUUUUGGGCACUUGAAAACCUGACCCUUUUGAAUUUAGUAGAAAAUAAGAUUCAAAGUGUGAACAACUCCUUUGAGGGCCUGCACAACUUGGAGACUUUGCUCUUGAGCCACAAUCAAAUUACCCAAAAUCACAAAAAUGCCUUUGUCCCUCUUGUCAAAUCGAAAUAUUUAAGCUUAUAUCAAAACUUUAUUACCGGUUUUUCCAAUAUCCUUGAAGCAGUACAGCAUCUUCCGCACCUGCAAUACCUUGAUCUUGCUAACAAUAGCAUCAUCUCAUUGGACCACAGCCCCAGGUCAUUGGCCUCCCUGACCCACCUGAGACUGCAGGGGAACAAACUAAUGGAAUUAAAUUUCUCUGCCUAAUCUGACCACUCUGGAUGUGUCUCAGAAUAGCCAUUGAAUCACCCACAAUGUGGAUCUGGAAACUCUACCCCAACUGAGGAGCUUGAAUGUGAAUGGAAUACUGGUGAAACAAGAGAUGCUUCCAGACAAACACCUAUAGAAUCUAAGGUAAAUGGACCUCAGUAACUAGAAGUUUAGAGGUGGUCACUUAAACUUGAAAACAGUGUGUCACCUCAUCAGAAACUUACCCAUAUUAGAGGCUUUGGUGUUUCAGAAAAAUGCCACUGAUGCAGGGGGCAUAAAGUGCCUUGCCAAUUGUACCAGUCUUUUGUCCCUUAACUUGAGCCAAAGCAAUGAUCUGCUUCACCUCAGUCACAGUGAGUUUGAUACUAUGCCCAGCCUCCAAAGGCUGAAUCUAAACAAAUGUCAACUUUCCUUUGUCAGCAACAGGACCUGGAGUGCCCUCCAGACCUUGACAGCCACAACAGAUUUAAAAGAUUUCCAGAUUUUGCAUUUUCACCCUAGAGGUACCUACAAUCUCUCAUCACAGAACUCAAUAAUAUAGCCUUCUGUGGGCAGUAUUUAUUGAAGGAACUCAACUUGGCUGGGUGCUAGAUAGUGAAAAUUGACAAAUAUUCCUUUGCUCAAUUUCCAAGUUUAAAGAGUUUAGACCUUGGAGACAAUAUUCAGACUCUGAAGCACAGAACCUUUCAGUUUCUGAAGAAGCUCCAAGUUCUGCUUCUCUGCCAGAACUGCCUGAAAGCUAUAGAGAAUGCAUUUUCUGGCCUCACUUACCUUUAUAGAUUUGACCUGGCAUACAAUAUCUUGUCAAGUUUUCAGGCAAGGCUUUUCCUGGGCCUUGAGAAUCUAGAAGUUUUGAAUCUCAGUUUUAAUAAAAUUACAUAUGAAACCACUAGGACCUUGCUAUUUCCUCCAUUUAUGAACCUCAAGUCUUUGAAACAACUCAACCUAGAAGGACAAAUACAUGGGAUUCAGGUUGUACCAACCAACUUCUUCUAAGGACUGAAUGGCAUGCAGGAGCUACUCCUAGGAAAAAAAUCCCAUUGUAUUCCUGGACCACCUCCAAUUUGACUCCCUGACUAAUCUCACGAAGUUAGAUAUCUCAGGAACAAAAGCUUGAGGCCAAAAUAUCGAUUUAAAUAUUUCCUUAUUCCAAAAACUCAAAAGACUAAAAAAUGCUGUGCCUGGAAAACAAGAACUUAGAGUCACUGACUCCUGGCAUGUUCUCUGGUUUAGAAAGCCUUCAGGUCUUCUCUUUAAGAUUCAACAACCUAAAAGUCAUUAAUCAAAGUCAUCUGGAGAAUCUGAAGUCUCUGAUGUACUUCAAUCUCUAUGGGAACAAACUUCAGUGCAACUGUGACAAUGUGUGGUUUAAGAACCGGUCAAUAGGGCCGGCCCCAUGGCUUAGCGGUUAAGUGCGUGUGCUCUGCUGCUGGCGGCCCGGGUUCGGAUCCCAGGCGUGCACCGACGCACCGCUUCUCCGGGCAUCCUGAGGCCACGUCCCACAUACAGCAAUUAGAGGGAUGUGCAGCAAUGACAUACAACUAUCUACUGGGGCUUUGGGGGAAAAAAAUAAAUAAAAUCUUUAAAAAA